AUGGAUGACCAUGACAAUACUAGCUUCCCACUCUCCGAUUUCGGUCUUGGGGAUAUGGAGUAUAGUCUCUACCCUAGUAGCACCGAUCACACUACCAUGCCCCCACCCGAGCAACAUGCCUAUACCAUGCCCCCACCCGAGCAACCUGCCUAUACCGAUCAUCACACUCUUGAACCCCAUACCGAUCCGAGUGCCGAAGCCGAUGGUCACACCAAUUCGAGUAGUGGGACGGGUUCGUCCACCACCGUUGGUGUAAAGCAAAGAGGUCGUCGUAGAACCUCCGCGGUGUGGGAAUCAUUCGAUGAAGAAAUCUCCGUGGUGGACGGUGUCCGGAGGGUGGUUGCAAGGUGCAAAAGGUGCAAGAAGGAGUAUACCGGAGAAGCCAAGGGAGGAACCGGCCACCUGAAGAGGCAUGUGGAAAGCCACGCCAAGGCGGAUGGAAAGAGCGCGUCGGGCUCGGCAGCUGUGCAAACGCAGCUCUCCUUCAACCCUGACGCACAUAGUGGUCCGAACAUUGCUGAAGCUAUACUAAAAGUUGUGAACGAUUUUAAUCUUGCCGACAAGGGGCAAGAUCUUUGGUUCUUCAUCCUCCUCAACCGCCGGAAGCUCUUCCACGUCAACAUCUGUGCUUCAAGGUGGCGGGGAGUUAGCGAAUGGUGGCAAGAACACAAGCUUACAUUUCCGGUGCUCUCCAUAUUAGCACGUGAUGUGUUAUCGGUGCCUGUUUCUACGGUGUCAUCGGAGUCAGCUUUCAGCCUUGCUGGAAGAAUAAUUGAGGAGAGAAGAACUAGUCUCGCCCCAGAUAUGGUGAGAACACUGAUGUCCGUCAAAGAUGGGGAGUUAUCAAGAAGGAGAGCGCAACACACUGCAGAAAACACAGAACUACUUGCCAUGUUUGAAGAAAUGAACUUUGAAGAAGACCCGGAAGAUUAG
rnacentral:rRNA from 1 species